rnacentral:rRNA from 1 species
UGCAGUCGAGCGGAAACGAUACCAGCUUGCUGGUAGGCGUCGAGCGGCGGACGGGUGAGUAACACUUAGGAAUCUACCUAGUAGUGGGGGAUAGCUCGGGGAAACUCGAAUUAAUACCGCAUACGACCUACGGGAGAAAGGGGGCAACUUGUUGCUCUCGCUAUUAGAUGAGCCUAAGUCGGAUUAGCUAGUUGGUGGGGUAAAGGCCUACCAAGGCGACGAUCUGUAGCUGGUCUGAGAGGAUGAUCAGCCACACCGGGACUGAGACACGGCCCGGACUCCUACGGGAGGCAGCAGUGGGGAAUAUUGGACAAUGGGGGCAACCCUGAUCCAGCCAUGCCGCGUGUGUGAAGAAGGCCUUUUGGUUGUAAAGCACUUUAAGCAGUGAAGAAGACCUAACGGUUAAUACCCGUUAGCGAUGACAUUAGCUGCAGAAUAAGCACCGGCUAACUCUGUGCCAGCAGCCGCGGUAAUACAGAGGGUGCAAGCGUUAAUCGGAAUUACUGGGCGUAAAGCGAGCGUAGGUGGCUUGAUAAGUCAGAUGUGAAAUCCCCGGGCUUAACCUGGGAACUGCAUCUGAUACUGUUAGGCUAGAAUAGGUGAGAGGAAGGUAGAAUUCCAGGUGUAGCGGUGAAAUGCGUAGAGAUCUGGAGGAAUACCGAUGGCGAAGGCAGCCUUCUGGCAUCAUAUUGACACUGAGGUUCGAAAGCGUGGGUAGCAAACAGGAUUAGAUACCCUGGUAGUCCACGCCGUAAACGAUGUCUACUAGUCGUUGGGUCCCUUGAGGACUUAGUGACGCAGCUAACGCAAUAAGUAGACCGCCUGGGGAGUACGGCCGCAAGGUUAAAACUCAAAUGAAUUGACGGGGGCCCGCACAAGCGGUGGAGCAUGUGGUUUAAUUCGAUGCAACGCGAAGAANCUUACCUGGUCUUGACAUAUCUAGAAUCCUGCA